UGCCUCCUCUCCAAGUCCAGCCCAGUGCUCCAUACUGGGUUUGAGUGCAGGCAGAGGAGGCAGAGCAGAGCAGUGGUGUUACCCAUUCCACCCUCAGCUACAGUGUAGCUCUGUGGUGGAAGAGAUCCCUGCUACAAAC
rnacentral:snoRNA from 1 species